rnacentral:rRNA from 1 species
GGCGCAGGCGGUGCGGCAAGUCUGAUGUGAAAGCCCGGGGCUCAACCCCGGUACUGCAUUGGAAACUGUCGUACUAGAGUGUCGGAGGGGUAAGCGGAAUUCCUAGUGUAGCGGUGAAAUGCGUAGAUAUUAGGAGGAACACCAGUGGCGAAGGCGACUUACUGGACGGUAACUGACGUUGAGGCUCGAAAGCGUGGGGAGGCAAAACA